AGCCCCGAGGUGUUUUACAUAUUGGAUUGCAAAUCCGAAGAGGCAGGGUUAGACCUGCCGGGGCUUU
rnacentral:tRNA from 1 species